rnacentral:lncRNA from 1 species
ACUCAGACUCAGUGAUAUAGCCAUCACCGUCUUUGGGUUCCUUUGGAUGUAAAAGCAGUGAUGGUGAGAUGGAAUUUUGAAGGAAUAUUCCUUUUCCCUGCACUGUGAUGACGUUUGGAGAAACAACGGUGAGGUGCAGCUGAAGAAUUGAAUCUCACUGCCAUCUUCAUUUCCAACUGGAGGUAAAACCUCCAGCUUAAACACAGCCAGCAGACUAGUUUUCUUGCAAACAAAAAUGCUCAUAUUUUCAUUUAUUAUUUUACAAUUUUAUCCUUAAAAGUUAAAGUAUUUUCUUUCCCAACCUUAUUUGUUUUCAGAUUGGGGAAAAUCUUCACAGACGUUUUCUUUUUCAUUGAGGUUAGGUUCCCUCAAUUUUAUGCCAGAAAUUUACUUCUGCUUACUUCCUCACCAAGAACAGAGAUAAAUCCUUUGAAUAUAAGGUAACAACUUUUUCUAUCUUUGCUUCUAUCGUUCAUUGAUUUUAAUUCAGUGAUUCCACCAGUUGUUUGAAUUAUUAUUUUCUGUUUACAUGAUUAUCAUGCCUGGAUUUGAUUUAAAAGUUUUAUUUUUUUAUCCCAACUGAAGAGCUGGAGUUGUUCAAUUAUCUAUUGUAUUGAUUGGGCUCUUGUGAUUUGAUGUGUUCUACUUGAUUUUAUUUCAUCGUUUUUAGUUUGAAAGCUAGGAUCUUUGGCUGAAUAAAACUUGAAUUUGAGCAUUGAGCUUGGUUUUUAGAUAUGAAACAAGAUUGGGUUGCUUAGACAGGUUCUGUGAACUCUCAAUCUCAUCAUUAUCCAUAGAACUAAACUUACCUUUUGACAGUAAGGGCUCUGUUUCCCAUGCUGCUAGGCUAUGGCAACUCAUUUUCUGCCAAAGAACAAAAAAAACAUCACUAAUAAAGUAGUGAGAAAAAUGGGGGAAAUUGAGAGAGAAAGAUGGAGAGUUAACCUAUCUACUUAAAACCAACAAAGAGAAAUAAAUUAGAGAUGAAAGAAAAAAAUUGCAUGACAAGGUUGAAUUUAAUGAAGUAAUUGCUUAAAACAUAAAUAAUAUACUGUAAAUAAGAAUCUAAAAGGUAAAAUCCCUUUCUCCUACCCUCAUCUGCAUCAUCUGAUGCAUUGUUGUUAACAGCAACUGAGCUUUGGAUUCCUGAAAACCAAAAUAGGAUGUAAAUCAAUCUUCCAAAACUAACAUGAAUAGCAUCCAAAGUCUUGACUUGAGGUUUCAACUUAAAACAUUUGCACUUUUACGCACAUGCAAUUGUCUUAAUAUCUUCAAGCUACUAGUCUCCAAUAACAACUAAAAGCCUCGGUGUAACUAUUUGCUGUAGAAAGUCAAUGCAGCACUAACCAAACAAUACAGGAGUCUGAAUAUUGGAAAGCAAACCAGAGCUCCAAUGAGUUGCAAAACUUGUAGUCAUGCCAUAUGAAGUAAAGCUAGUUGUUGUACUGGCUGAAGUAAACUUUGCAGUUGUAAGUAAGUACAAAAAGUAUAGAAACAAACUGAAAUGCUAACCUUGAGCCAAAAAAAUGAGUCUAAAAUUUUUCAUACACAAGCUUUAAGUGCUUAAGCAAUGAUAACAUAAUGGAAAGCAUAUACGAAAAAAACAAAAGGUACUGAGCCCUUAUUGGCAAAUUCGGUACAUGUAUGUAUGCAUAUGCAAGUGCAUGUGUCUGUGUACGCAUGCAUGUUGCAGCAGCUAAACUCUGUUCCUUUUUCUAGUCAGUUAUUCAACUUCUAAAUGGCAUAAGAACCAGCAAAGCUUAUUCCCAUCAAACGAAAGCAAAAGAGAUCAAUACCCUAUGAUUUUUCAAGUCAUUCUUUGUGUUUUCCCAAUUGUUUUUUGGUCAUUUCCCCCCUAACUGCUGAAAUGCAAAGCCAAUUGCUUUUAAAUUUUUGCUACCUUGCAUGCAAUAAGGACUCUGCAAACUUCAUUAGCCAAUACUAGCCUCUUCAACAUCAUCAACAAGCAAUUAAAAUUGAAAGCAAAAGGUAGAUAAAAUUAAGUACACAAGUAACAGAGAAUAAAAGACUUUUAACUCAAAUAGCAGAUAAACACAAAAGCUAUUUUGCAUAACUUGUGAUUAGAGUACCAAUAUUCCCUUAGUGUAAUGAUUUAAGACUUAUUGUUAAAAGAGUUAUAAAUUUCCAAUGAAAUUAAUCACCACUGCUUUUAUAUAAUAAGUGGAAUAUUACUGUAAAAACUAGACACUAAACAAAUUUUCCCUGGAAGAAGAGAAGAACUAAAGACACUCAAAUUGUAGACCAUGACAGUAAAGAUAAUUUUUAGUGAGACCAAUGAUGAAAACUGGAGAAGAUUAUCUCAAAAAUGCAAAAAUGAAAGCUAAAAAUAACCAAAAUAUCUUAUAAAGUUUUCGGUGAGCUAUAUAGUUCGGUAAUUAUUGUCUUUCUACAUAGAUCCUCUCCUUCCUCCAUCAAUAGCAUGUCAGCAGUUAGAAAAUACUAAAAAUCCAAUAAACCCAGCUAUGCUCAGCAAAUAGAGUAUGGGACGUGAGUUUAAACAUUCCUUUAAUUAAAAUACACUAUAACAACCAAUUCUAUGAAAUUCCACACCAAAUACUAAAAAUUCAGCAGUUAGAAAAUACUAAAAAUUAUGCUUAAUUCAGCAAAUUUACAAAUAAAUAUUUAACAACACACUUACAGAUACAUUAAUAAAUGCAGCUCAUGAAAUUAAUCAAGAACUAAAACAAAUUUUAAAGUGGCUUUAAUUGAAUAAAAUUAAUAGACAAUACCACAUGAAAUCAUCAAAUAAUCCCGAAGGUAUAAAUAAAAUCGAAAGUCCCACUAUCCAACCAUGAACCAAGCACCUAUGUUUAGCAAAGAUAAUAAGCAAUCAUCAAAAAUUCAUCCAUAAAUCCUCUAAAGGAGCACUCAAAUCAGUUAAGCAGAGACGUGAGAAGACUUAGUGUAAUGAUUUAAGACUUAUUGCUAAAGAGUUAUACAUUUCCAAUGAAAUUAAUCACCACUGCUUUUAUAUAAUAAGUGGAAUAUUACUGUAAAGAAUAGACACUAAACAAAUUUUCCCUGGAAGAAGAGAAGAACUAAAGACACUCAAAUUGUAGACUAUGACAGUAAAGAUAAUUUUUAGUGACACCAAUGAUGAAAACUAGAGAAAAUUAUCUCAAAAAUGCAAAAAUAAAAGCUAAAAAUAACCAAAAUAUCUCAUAAAGUUUUUUUCAAACUUAUAAAAAAAAUGCUAGUAAGUACAAAAAGUAUAGAAACAACAGUAGCAUAAAACCACAAAACAAAGUCCUUUAAAGUCAGAGCUCAAUCAAUUGAUCACUAAAGCCAUAAACUUGCAAUCAAAUACAGUCACAAACUGCACAUUCAUGACCAUGAAUACUUCAAAUGUCGAUGAAAAAAAUCAGAAGUUACCAUGAUGUUUAAAGCAUGAGUUAGAUAGUCUUGAACACCAUCUUGCCAAAGCUCAUCAAGGUGAUUUUACAAUACAUACAUAGCCUAAUCCUAAGUUGUAAAACCAUCUUAAUAGUUUGCUGAACCAAGUAAAACAGAACUAAGGUUGUGGUUGGGGAGGAGGGCCCUGAUGAGCUUAUUUAGGAUCUUUGAGAAUUUUUUCUUUAGUGUUCAUCUUAUGGCUUUCAUCCAUUCGUGAUGUACUAUUCUUAUUUUUUAUGAAACUAUAUUAUUAUAUCUAAUUAUAUAUUUAUGGUUUAUUGACAUUUAAAAUCAAAAUAAUAAUAGAUGGUAAAGACACGAAAUUUUGUGGAGGGAGAUAGUAGCUUAGCAACAAAAGCUGUUUGGGACGAUGAGUUGACGUUGAUAUUUUGUGAACUUUGCGUAAAUGAAGUCAAUGCUGGCAAUAGACCGACAACUCAUCUAAACUCAAAGGGAUGGGAAAAUGUCAUUGCUCUUUUUCAAGCAAAAACACAAAAAAAUUAUGGAAAACCUCAAUUGAAAAAUAAGUGGGAUACAUUAAAAAAGGAAUGGAGGUUAUGGAGGGAGUUGCUUAAGGAAUCUACAGGUAUUGGAUGGUGUCCAUUGAAAAAGACGGUCGAUGCUACCGAAGAGUGGUGGGCUGAAAAAAUACAGGUUAAUGUUAACUUUAUCAUUAUUUUAAUGCAUAAAGUUUAUUAAAAUUAAUAAUUUACAGUUAUAAAAAUCUUAGUAUAACAUUUAACGUUUAACAUAUUAUGUAGGAAAAUCCUGAUUUUAAAGGAUUUAAGAAGAAAGGAAUUGAACCACGAUUGAAUGAGUUAAUGUGGCAAAUGUUUGGUGGCAUUGUAGCCACUGGAGAGAACGCAUGGGCACCUUCGUCUGAUGUUCUUCCACGUGGGGUUCCUAUGGGAGAUGAUGCACCUAAUGAGGGAUUUGGUGAUUCAGAUGAACAUAGUAACGAGAAUGAAGGUAUUCCCCCUGAUGAGGUACCAUCAAACCCUUCUCAUGGAAUCCCUAAUCGAAGAAAGGAAACACUUGGGGUUGUACACGGUAAGGGAAAAAAAUCAAGUUCAAGUAGAAAAUCAUCAAGAAAUACAUUAACUACUCAGAUUGAGAAAUUGUGUGAGAGUAUGGCUAGUCCAAGGAAGUCGGUGAACGAAAUUAUUUUUCCUCACUCUCAAUAUACUAUUUCAAAUGCAAUGGAUGCUUUGCGUGCUUUGGGAGAUGAAAUUCCAAAAAGAGAUGAACUGUACUAUUUUGCCACCAAAAUGUUCCAAAUACCGGUGAAACGAGAAAUGUUUUUGAACUUAGAUCCAGAUGAUAGGGUUUGGUGGCUUCGACGUGAGUAUGCUGAACAAAAUCCAAUUGCAUCAUUUUCAUCCUUGGUAGCAACAUCCCCAUUUCCCUUCCAACCAUACCAUCAACCACCUCCACCAUCAGCUCCUUAGAAAUAUUAUUGUAAUAUAACUAUACUACUUUUUUAUAUGUAAGACUAAUGUAUGCUACUUUGUAUGUUUGGUAUUUUUAUGUUAUGCUUUUAAUCAAGUUUCUGUGUUGUAUAGAAUGUCACGAGAUUUUAAAGGAUUUAUUUUCAUUUGAUUACUUUUUCAGGUUAUGGAUGAAUUUAACAAUAUGUAUAAUAGUUUUGAUAUGAAUUAU